AGCGAACGCUGGCGGCAGGCCUAACACAUGCAAGUCGAGCGCCCCGCAAGGGGAGCGGCAGACGGGAGAGUAACACGUGGGAACGUACCCUUCGGUUCGGAACAACCCAGGGAAACUUGGGCUAAUACCGGAUACGUCCGAAAGGAGAAAGAUGCAUCGCCGAGGGAUCGGCCCGCGUCUGAUUAGCUAGUUGGUGGGGUAACGGCCCACCAAGGCGACGAUCAGUAGCUGGUCUGAGAGGAUGAUCAGCCUCACUGGGACUGAGACACGGCCCAGACUCCUACGGGAGGCAGCAGUGGGGAAUAUUGGACAAUGGGCGCAAGCCUGAUCCAGCCAUGCCGCGUGGGUGAUGAAGGCCCUAGGGUUGUAAAGCCCUUUCGGCGGGGAAGAUAAUGACGGUACCCGCAGAAGAAGCCCCGGCUAACUUCGUGCCAGCCGCCGCCGCGGUAA
rnacentral:rRNA from 1 species